AGAGUUUGAUCAUGGCUCAGUCUAAACGCUGGCGGCAUGGCUAAAGCAUGCAAGUCGAGGGAUACCCUUCGGGGGAAACCGGCGGAAGGGCGAGUAAUGGUACCGAACGUGCCCCAAGGUGGGGGAUAGCCGCGGGAAACUGCGGGUAAUACCCCAUGUGCUCUACGGAGGAAAGCUCAGGCGCCUUGGGAGCGGCGGUACUCCUAUCAGGUAGUUGGCGGGGUAAUGGCCCACCAAGCCGAAGACGGGUAGCGGGUGUGAGAGCACGGCCCGCCGCAUCGGGACUGAGACACUGCCCGGACUCCUACGGGAGGCUGCAGCAACGAAUCUUCCGCAAUGCACGAAAGUGUGACGGAGCAAUGCCGCGUGCGGGAUGAAGCGGCUUCGCCGUGUAAACCGCUGUCAGGACCCAGAAAGAACUGAUCGGGUCCAGAGGAAGGGCCGGCUAAUCUCGUGCCAGCCGCCGCGGUAAUAC
rnacentral:rRNA from 1 species